UGCCAUCUUUUCGUACCGAUGUCAUCUUCAUCAUCAUGAAUCAGCCCAUCACCGCCACAGUCACAAAUCAGCCCAUCGUGGCCGUCAUCACAACGACGACGUUUUUGUGUGAUUGAGAAACAGGCUGAGUUUGCGUGGAUUAUCUCCCCCGUGUCAUUAAAACUAACCGCUGAAUUUAUUUGUUGCUUGCACAUGGACAAUGCAAUGGAAUUAAAAGGCAUUAGGGUAAAUAUCAUUAGUUCCUUUACGACAGAAUAAGUUUUGUUUUAGAUUUUUUUAAUUAUAAUUGUUGGGUAAGAAUAUCAUUAGUUCAAUUUUCAAACUUCUUCUAUUUUGAAAUAGGCAUCAGUUCUGGAAAAAGAUACAGAGAGCCAACAGUUCUGGAAAAAGAUAGAGAUUGUGUUUCUAAAAGCAAUCAUAUGUG
rnacentral:lncRNA from 1 species